GUGGGGAAUCUUCCACAAUGGACGAAAGUCUGAUGGAGCAACGCCGCGUGAGUGAAGAAGGGUUUCGGCUCGUAAAGCUCUGUUGUCGGGGACGAAUGUGCAGUAUUUGAAUAAAGUAGUGCAAUGACGGUACCUGACGAGGAAGCCACGGCUAACUACGUGCCAGCAGCCGCGGUAAUACGUAGGUGGCAAGCGUUGUCCGGAAUUAUUGGGCGUAAAGGGAGCGCAGGCGGGAAGGUAAGUCGGUCUUAAAAGUGCGGGGCUCAACCCCGUGAUGGGAUCGAAACUAUCUUUCUUGAGUGCAGGAGAGGAAAGUGGAAUUCCUAGUGUAGCGGUGAAAUGCGUAGAUAUUAGGAGGAACACCAGUGGCGAAGGCGACUUUCUGGACUGUAACUGACGCUGAGGCUCGAAAGCCAGGGGAGCGAACGGGAUUAGAUACCCGAGUAGUCC
rnacentral:rRNA from 1 species